rnacentral:rRNA from 1 species
UGGGGAAUAUUGCACAAUGGGCGCAAGCCUGAUGCAGCCAUGCCGCGUGUAUGAAGAAGGCCUUCGGGUUGUAAAGUACUUUCAGUCGGGAGGAAGGUGUCAAGGUUAAUAACCUUGGCAAUUGACGUUACCGACAGAAGAAGCACCGGCUAACUCCGUGCCAGCAGCCGCGGUAAUACGGAGGGUGCAAGCGUUAAUCGGAAUUACUGGGCGUAAAGCGCACGCAGGCGGUUGAUUGAGUCAGAUGUGAAAUCCCCGGGCUUAACCCGGGAAUUGCAUCUGAUACUGGUCAGCUAGAGUCUUGUAGAGGGGGGUAGAAUUCCAUGUGUAGCGAUGAAAUGCGUAGAGAUCUGGAGGAAUACCGGUGGCGAAGGCGGCCCCCUGGACAAAGACUGACGCUCAGGUGCGAAAGCGUGGGGAGCAAACAGG